rnacentral:rRNA from 1 species
UACAGAGGGUGCGAGCGUUGUCCGGAAUCACUGGGCGUAAAGGGCGCGUAGGCGGCGCGGUAAGCGUGCGGUGAAAGCCCGGGGCUCAACCCUGGAAUUGCCUUUAAGACUGCAUCGCUUGAACAUCGGAGAGGUAAGUGGAAUUCCGAGUGUAGAGGUGAAAUUCGUAGAUAUUCGGAAGAACACCAGUGGCGAAGGCGACUUACUGGACGAUUGUUGACGCUGAGGUGCGAAAGCGUGGGGAGCAAACAGG